rnacentral:rRNA from 1 species
UUGACUGAGUGGCGGACGGGUGAGUAACGCGUGGGUAACCUGCCUCAUACAGGGGGAUAACAGUUAGAAAUGACUGCUAAUACCGCAUAAGACCACAGUACCGCAUGGUACAGGGGUAAAAACUCCGGUGGUAUGAGAUGGACCCGCGUCUGAUUAGGUAGUUGGUGGGGUAACGGCCUACCAAGCCGACGAUCAGUAGCCGACCUGAGGGGGUGACCGGCCACAUUGGGACUGAGACACGGCCCAA